rnacentral:rRNA from 1 species
UACAGAGGUCUCAAGCGUUGUUCGGAUUCAUUGGGCGUAAAGGGUGCGUAGGCGGCGCGGUAAGUCGGGUGUGAAAUCUCGGAGCUUAACUCCGAAACUGCAUUCGAUACUGCCGUGCUUGAGGACUGGAGAGGAGACUGGAAUUCUCGGUGUAGCGGUGAAAUGCGUAGAUAUCGAGAGGAACACCUGUGGCGAAGGCGGGUCUCUGGACAGUUCCUGACGCUGAGGCACGAAAGCUAGGGGAGCAAACAGG